GUGCUCACUUGGGUAGCACAUAUACUAAAGUUAGAAUGAUACAGAGUAGAUUACAUGGCCCCUGCAUAUGAACAAUAUGCACAUUUGUGAACCAUUUCAUAUUUUU